AAAUGAAUAGACGGGGGCCCGCACAAGCGGUGGAUUAUGUGGUUUAAUUCGAAGCAACGCGCAGAACCUCACCUAGGUUUGACAUCCCACGACAAUCUUGGAAACAAGACUUUGUAGCAAUACACGUGGAGACAGGUGCUGCAUGGCUGUCGUCAGCUCGUGUUGUGAAAUGUUGGGUUAAGUCCCGCAACGAGCGCAACCCCUGGAAUUAGUUGCCAGCAUUAAGUUGGGCACUCUAAUUUGACUGCCGGCGUUAAGCCGGAGGAAGGUGGGGACGACGUCAAGUCCUCAUGGCCCUUACACCUAGGGCUACACACGUAAUACAAUGGAUAGGACAAAGGGUUGCCAACCUGCAAAGGGGAGCUAAUCUCAAAAACCUGUCCUCAGUUCGGAUUGGAGGCUGCAAUUCGCCUCCAUGAAGGCGGAAUCGCUAGUAAUCGUGGAUCAGCACGCCACGGUGAAUACGUUCCCGGGCCUUGCACACACCGCCCGU
rnacentral:rRNA from 1 species